GACGUACGCUGGCGGCGUGCUUAACACAUGCAAGUCGAACGGAAAGGCCCUGCUUUUGUGGGGUGCUCGAGUGGCGAACGGGUGAGUAACACGUGAGUAACCUGCCCCUGACUUUGGGAUAACUUCAGGAAACUGGGGCUAAUACCGGAUAGGAGCUCCUGCUGCAUGGUGGGGGUUGGAAAGUUUCGGCGGUUGGGGAUGGACUCGCGGCUUAUCAGCUCGUUGGUGGGGUAGGGGCUUACCAAGGCUUUGACGGGUAGCCGGCCUGAGAGGGUGACCGGCCACAUGGGGACUGAGAUACGGCCCAGACUCCUACGGGAGGCAGCAGUGGAGAAUAUUGCACAAUGGGCGGAAGCCUGAUGCAGCAACGCCGCGUGCGGGAUGACGGCCUUCGGGUUGUAAACCGCUUUCGCCUGUGACGAAGCGUGAGUGACGGUAAUGGGUAAAGAAGCACCGGCUAACUACGUG
rnacentral:rRNA from 1 species